GACACGCUGGCGGCGGGCUUAACACAUGCAAGUCGGACGCUCCGGUUUUGGCCGGGGCGUGGCGCACGGGUGCGUAACACGUAGGUAACCUGCCCUCGAGUGGGGGAAUAACCCCGGGAAACCGGGGCUAAUACCGCAUACAGACUGGGAGCUGCAUGGCUCUCAGUUGAAAGCCGUGCACCGGUGACGGUGCGGGCGCUCGGGGAUGGGCCUGCGGCGGAUUAGGUAGUUGGUGGGGUAAGGGCCUACCAAGCCUGCGAUCCGUAGCUGGUCUGAGAGGAUGAUCAGCCACACUGGCACUGAGACACGGGCCAGACUCCUACGGGAGGCAGCAGUGAGGAAUUUUGCGCAAUGGAGGCAACUCUGACGCAGCCACGCCGCGUGCAGGAGGACGCCCCUACGGGGUGUAAACUGCUUUUCUGCGAGAAGAAGGCCUUGCUUUGGGCAGGGUGUGACGGUAUCGCAGGAAUAAGCACCGGCUAACUCCGUG
rnacentral:rRNA from 1 species